AGUGAACGCUGGCGGUAGGCCUAACACAUGCAAGUCGAACGGCAGCACAGAGGAGCUUGCUCCUUGGGUGGCGAGUGGCGGACGGGUGAGGAAUACAUCGGAAUCUACUCUGUCGUGGGGGAUAACGUAGGGAAACUUACGCUAAUACCGCAUACGACCUACGGGUGAAAGCAGGGGAUCUUCGGACCUUGCGCGAUUGAAUGAGCCGAUGUCGGAUUAGCUAGUUGGCGGGGUAAAGGCCCACCAAGGCGACGAUCCGUAGCUGGUCUGAGAGGAUGAUCAGCCACACGGGAACUGAGACACGGUCAAGACUCCUACGGGAGCCAGCAGUGGGGAAUAUUGGACAAUGGGCGCAAGCCUGAUCCAGCCAUACCGCGUGGGUGAAGAAGGCCUUCGGGUUGUAAAGCCCUUUUGUUGGGAAAGAAAUCCAUCUGGUUAAUACCCGGGUGGGAUGACGGUACCCAAAGAAUAAGCACCGACUAACUUCGUGCCAGCCGCCGCCGUAA
rnacentral:rRNA from 1 species